GGGCCCGCACAAGCGGUGGAGUAUGUGGUUUAAUUCGAUGCAACGCGAAGAACCUUACCAGGGUUUGACAUCCUGCGAAUUUCUUGGAAACGAGAAAGUGCCUUCGGGAACGCAGUGACAGGUGGUGCAUGGCUGUCGUCAGCUCGUGUCGUGAGAUGUUGGGUUAAGUCCCGCAACGAGCGCAACCCACGUCUUUAGUUGCCAGCAUUUAGUUGGGCACUCUAGAGAGACUGCCGGUGAUAAACCGGAGGAAGGUGUGGAUGACGUCAAGUCAUCAUGCCCCUUACAUCCUGGGCUACACACGUACUACAAUGCUACGGACAAAGGGCAGCAAGUUCGCGAGGACAAGCAAAUCCCAUAAACCGUGGCUCAGUUCAGAUCGUAGGCUGCAACUCGCCUACGUGAAGGCGGAAUCGCUAGUAAUCGCAGGUC
rnacentral:rRNA from 1 species